rnacentral:rRNA from 1 species
GAAACUUAAAUGAAUUGACGGGACCCGCACAAGCAGCGGAGCGUGUGGUUUAAUUCGUUGCUACACGAAGAACUUACCUGGGUUUGACAUAUAGGUUGUAGGGAACUGAAAAGGGACCGACCCUUCGGGGAGCCUAUACAGGUGUUGCAUGGCUGUCGUCAGCUCGUGUCGUGAGAUGUUCGGUUAAGUCCGCUAACGAGCGCAACCCUCGUCGUAUGUUAUAUGUGUCAUACGAGACUGCCGGUAAAAAGCCGGAGGAAGGUGAGGAUGAUGUCAAGUCAGCAUGACCUUUAUAUCCAGGGCUACACACACGCUACAAUGGUCUGUACAAUGGGUAGCCAAGCCGCGAGGCGGAGCCAAUCCUGAAAGCAGGCCUCAGUUCAGAUUGCAGUCUGCAACUCGACUGCAUGAAGCCGGAGUUGCUAGUAACCGCAGGUCAGCAAUACUGCGGUGAAUACGUUCCCGGGUCUU